rnacentral:rRNA from 1 species
UUUCGCUCAGGACGAACGCUGGCGGCGUGCUUAACACAUGCAAGUCGAACGGAAAGGCCCUUCGGGGUACUCGAGUGGCGAACGGGUGAGUAACACGUGGGUGAUCUGCCCUGCACUUUGGGAUAAGCCUGGGAAACUGGGUCUAAUACCGGAUAGGACCACGCGCUUCAUGGUGUGUGGUGGAAAGCUUUUGCGGUGUGGGAUGGGCCCGCGGCCUAUCAGCUUGUUGGUGGGGUAAUGGCCUACCAAGGCGACGACGGGUAGCCGGCCUGAGAGGGUGACCGGCCACACUGGGACUGAGAUACGGCCCAGACUCCUACGGGAGGCAGCAGUGGGGAAUAUUGCACAAUGGGCGCAAGCCUGAUGCAGCGACGCCGCGUGAGGGAUGACGGCCUUCGGGUUGUAAACCUCUUUCAAUAGGGACGAAGCGCAAGUGACGGUACCUAUAGAAGAAGGACCGGCCAACUACGUGCCAGCAGCCGCGGUAAUACGUAGGGUCCGAGCGUUGUCCGGAAUUACUGGGCGUAAAGAGCUCGUAGGUGGUUUGUCGCGUUGUUCGUGAAAACUCACAGCUUAACUGUGGGCGUGCGGGCGAUACGGGCAGACUAGAGUACUGCAGGGGAGACUGGAAUUCCUGGUGUAGCGGUGGAAUGCGCAGAUAUCAGGAGGAACACCGGUGGCGAAGGCGGGUCUCUGGGCAGUAACUGACGCUGAGGAGCGAAAGCGUGGGGAGCGAACAGGAUUAGAUACCCUGGUAGUCCACGCCGUAAACGGUGGGUACUAGGUGUGGGUUUCCUUCCUUGGGAUCCGUGCCGUAGCUAACGCAUUAAGUACCCCGCCUGGGGAGUACGGCCGCAAGGCUAAAACUCAAAGGAAUUGACGGGGGCCCGCACAAGCGGCGGAGCAUGUGGAUUAAUUCGAUGCAACGCGAAGAACCUUACCUGGGUUUGACAUGCACAGGACGCCAGUAGAGAUAUUGGUUCCCUUGUGGCCUGUGUGCAGGUGGUGCAUGGCUGUCGUCAGCUCGUGUCGUGAGAUGUUGGGUUAAGUCCCGCAACGAGCGCAACCCUUGUCUCAUGUUGCCAGCACGUUAUGGUGGGGACUCGUGAGAGACUGCCGGGGUCAACUCGGAGGAAGGUGGGGAUGACGUCAAGUCAUCAUGCCCCUUAUGUCCAGGGCUUCACACAUGCUACAAUGGCCGGUACAAAGGGCUGCGAUGCCGUGAGGUGGAGCGAAUCCUUUCAAAGCCGGUCUCAGUUCGGAUCGGGGUCUGCAACUCGACCCCGUGAAGUCGGAGUCGCUAGUAAUCGCAGAUCAGCAACGCUGCGGUGAAUACGUUCCCGGGCCUUGUACACACCGCCCGUCACGUCAUGAAAGUCGGUAACACCCGAAGCCGGUGGCCUAACCCUUGUGGAGGGAGCCGUCGAAGGUGGGAUCGGCGAUUGGGACGAAGUCGUACAAGG